rnacentral:rRNA from 1 species
CAAUAGCGUAUAUUAAAGUUGUUGCGGUUAAAAAGCUCGUAGUUGGAUUUCUGCUGAGAACGACCGGUCCGCCCUUUGGGUGUGUAUCUGGCUCUUUCUUGGCAUCUUCUUGGUGAACGUUGCUGCACUUGACUGUGUGGAGCGCUACCCAGGACUUUUACUUUGAGGAAAUUAGAGUGUUUCAAGCAGGCAUACGCCUUGAAUACAUUAGCAUGGAAUAAUAAGAUAGGACCUCGGUUCUAUUUUGUUGGUUUCUAGAGCUGAGGUAAUGAUUAACAGGGACAGUUGGGGGCAUUCGUACUGGGUAGUCAGCGGUAAAAUGCUAUGACCUGCUCAAGACGCACUAAUGCGAAGGCAUUUGCCAAGGAUGUUUUCAUUAA